GUUUCGUCACGGUUUCGGGACUCCUCGGGAAAAAAAAAAAAAAUCGAGGAAACGUGAAGGAAAACCAGAGUAGCACGGAAGACAACAAAUAGCUGCAGCUGGGAUGGAGGGUUCCCAGUUGGUUCUCACCCACAGACUCCAGUUCAGAUUGACUGGGACGUGUCUGCUCAGACGCAACAAUGACCCAAGAGUGUUUGUGAGCUGAGGAGCUUGUACUUCCAGAUGUUUCCUGAUGCUGCAUGUAAAAGUAGCAGCUGGAUCCACUGGCCCACACCUCCCUAAGAGCAGCUGUGCCACGUUGUCCCAGACACAACGCAUCAUCCAGAUGUGACUCGGAUUUUCCUCUGCAAGUGUACAGUGCGUGUAAACAUUGAUCAACAUUAUGUUUCGUGCUCAUAUGAGCACGUUGUACUCUUCUGCCUCCUGACGUUUCUAAUGAGGGUUUCGCGUAAUCAGUUGGUCAGUUACAUGCCUGUACAGUUAUAUUGCUUUCACUGUAGCACUGUACAACCAUGUCUUGAUCCUGAAUUCAUCAACAGACAAUAAA